UCUCCCUUCCACUUUCCAUUGACUGCAGGCUUAUUAGAUAAACAUACAUUUUCCUCUCCAUUUUCCCACACUAGAAAGUGUAGAGAAAACAUUUUUCUCUCAUGCCGGAGAAAUGAAAGCACACUUGUCAAAUCCUCUCGGGACCGUCCAAGUUCCACGACCCGUAUAUCCCUCCAAUGCCUUUCUCAUUCACUUUCCGUAUUCCUUCUCUCAUAAAACACCUCGCAGACGCGUUUGUAAAAUUAAAUUUAGCUCCAAAAACAAUCCGUUUCUCUUCAUCAUGCCCAGAAGACUCACUGUUAAUGCUUGUGAAGCUUCGAGUUCGGACUCAGUUGUAGCCUCUCCCAACUCGGAAGAAGAGACCGAGUCCAUGAAGUUAUUUGAGAAAUUGAAGGAUGCGGAAAGAGAGCGAAUAAAUAAGUUGGAAGAGCUUCAAAGAAAAGCCGACAUACAGUUAGAGAGACAGCUCGUCAUGGCAUCAUCAUGGAGUCGGGCCCUAUUGACUAUGCGUGGGAAGUUAAAGGGAACUGAGUGGGAUCCUGAGACUUCUCACAGGAUUAACUUCAGUGAUUUUAUUAGAUUACUUAAUUCAAAUAACGUCCAAUAUAUGGAGUACUCAAAUUAUGGGCAGACAGUAUCAGUGAUACUUCCUUACUACAAAGAUCGAAAAAUGGAGGGAACAAACAGGAAUUCAGAGAAAGAAAUUAUUUUCCGGCGCCAUGUGGUGGAUCGAAUGCCAAUAGAUUGUUGGAAUGAUGUUUGGAAAAAGUUGCACCAACAAAUAAUAAAUGUUGAUGUCUUCAAUGUGGACACUGUGCCUGCUGAGGUCUACUCUACUGUUGCCACUGCUGUCAUAUGGUCCAUGCGGCUUGCACUCUCUGUUGUAUUGUAUCUUUGGAUUGAUAGCAAAAUGAGGCCAAUUUAUGCGAAGUUAAUACCUUGUGAUCUAGGAACUCCUGAAAAAAAGAUGAGGCAACCACUCAAGCGCCGUGCUCUUGGAUCAUUAGGCAAGAGUCGGGCAAAAUUUAUAUCGGCUGAAGAAAGAACUGGUGUCACCUUUGAUGAUUUUGCUGGUCAGGAGUACAUCAAGGGGGAACUGCAAGAAAUUGUGCGGAUUCUGAAAAAUGACGAAGAGUUCCAAGAUAAAGGUAUCUAUUGCCCAAAAGGUGUCCUUCUCCAUGGCCCUCCUGGGACUGGUAAAACGCUGCUGGCUAAAGCUAUUGCUGGUGAAGCUGGAUUACCUUUCUUUGCUGCGAAUGGCACUGAUUUUGUUGAGAUGUUUGUAGGUGUGGCAGCAUCACGUGUCAAGGAUCUUUUUGCUAGUGCCAGGUCAUUUGCACCUUCCAUCAUUUUUAUUGAUGAGAUUGAUGCUAUUGGUAGCAAGCGUGGUGGACCUGAUAUUGGUGGGGGUGGUGCAGAAAGGGAGCAGGGUUUACUUCAGAUACUGACUGAGAUGGAUGGAUUUAAAGUUUCUACAUCACAGGUAUUAGUUAUAGGUGCAACAAAUAGACUCGACAUUCUUGAUCCUGCUCUCUUGAGAAAGGGUCGUUUCGACAAGAUCAUAAGGGUUGGUUUGCCAUCUAAAGAUGGUAGAUUGGCCAUACUUAAGGUACAUGCUAGAAAUAAAUUUUUUCGUUCGGAGGAGGAGAAGGAGUCACUACUGCAGGAAGUUUCUGAGCUUACCGAAGAUUUUACGGGGGCAGAACUCCAAAAUAUACUGAAUGAAGCUGGAAUUCUGACUGCCAGGAAAGAUUUAGACUACAUAGGUCGAGAUGAACUUCUAGAAGCUUUAAAGAGGCAAAAAGGAACAUUUGAAACAGGCCAAGAAGAUACAACGGAAGUUCCGGAGGAGCUAAAACUGAGAUUGGCAUACCGAGAGGCAGCUGUUGCUGUUCUUGCAUGUUACUUUCCAGAUCCCUAUCGUCCUUUCACAGAGACAGACAUUAACUCCAUUCGUAGCCAGCCAAAUAUGCGCUAUUCAGAAACGGCGGGCAAGGUUUUUGCUCGAAAAUCAGAUUAUGUGAACUCCAUAGUGCGUGCAUGCGCUCCUCGAGUAAUUGAGGAGGAAAUGUUUGGGAUCGACAAUCUUUGCUGGAUCUCUGCAAAGGCUACUUUAGAAGCUUCAAGGCUUGCAGAAAUCUUAAUUCUACAGACAGGGAUGACAGCAUUUGGGAAAGCAUACUAUAGGAAUCAAAGUGAUCUUGUUCCAAAUUGUUUAACAGCUGGCAGCCAAACUUGAAGCCUUACGUGAUGAAUACAUGCGUUUUGCCAUGGAAAAAUGUUCAUAUGUAUUGCUAGAAUAUCAUUCAGCUGUAGAGACAAUUACAGAUGUUUUGCUUGAGAUGGAGAAUUAAAGCGGAAGAAAUUUGGGAGAUAUACAACACAGAGC